CACAUUCAAAGAGGCAGCAGGCGCGCAAUUACCCAAUCCUGACUCAGGGAGGUAGUGACAAGAAAUAACAAUAAACCGGCUUAUGCCGGUUUAAUUGGAAUGAGUACAAUUUAAACAUCUUAACGAGGAACAAUUGGAGGGCAAGUCUGGUGCCAGCAGCCGCGGUAAUUCCAGCUCCAAUAGCGUAUACUAAAGUUGUUGCAGUUAAAAAGCUCGUAGUUGGAUUUCUGUGGGGACGGAGCGGCCGGCCGCACAUCGCGGUUCGAGCUAGCGCUUUCCCUACAUCCUGCCGCGAACCGUGCUACCAUUAGCUUGGUGGCGCCGGGGAUCGGCUCGAUUACUUUGAGAAAAAUAGAGUGUUCAAAGCAGGCCACAUGCCUUGAAUAAGUUAGCAUGGAAUAAUAACUAAGGACUUCGGUUCUAUUUUGUUGGUGUUCGGGACUGAAGUAAUGAUUGAUAGGGACAGUUGGGGCGGUCUGUAUUCCAAAGCGAGAGGUGAAAUUCUUAGACCUUCGGAAGACAAACAGCUGCGAAAGCGUUCCGCAAGGAUGUUCCCUUUGAUCAAGAACGAAAGUUGGGGGAUCGAAGACGAUCAGAUACCGUCGUAGUCUCAACUAUAAACUAUACCAGCUAGGGAUCGGCCAACGUUAUUUUAUACCGACUUGGUCGGCACCUUAUGAGAAAUCAAAGCAUCUGGGUUCCGGGGGGAGUAUGGUCGCAAGGCUGAAACUUAAAGGAAUUGACGGAAGGGCACCACCAGCCGUGGAGCCUGUGGCUUAAUUUGACUCAACACGGGAAAACUUACCAGGUCCAGACAUAGUAAGGAUUGACAGAUUGAUAGCUCUUUCUUGAUUCUGUGGGUGGUGGUGCAUGGCCGUUCUUAGUUGGUGGAGUGAUUUGUCUGGUUAAUUCCGUUAACGAACGAGACCCCAGCCUGCUAAAUAGCGCGCGUGAGCUUUGCUCGCGGCGAGCUUCUUAGAGGGACUAUGAUGCGCGAUAGCACAUGGAAGUUUGGGGCAAUAACAGGUCUGUGAUGCCCUUAGAUGUUCUGGGCCGCACACGGGCUACACUGGCGCCUGCAACGAGCAUAUCAGCUGGCCCGAGAGGGUCUUGGCUAAUCUUUUGAACCGGCGCCGUGCUUGGGAUUGACCUUUGCAAUUGUUGGUCAUGCAACGAGGAAUGCCUUGUAAACGCGAGUCAUCAGCUCGCAUUGAAUACGUCCCUGCCCUUUGUACACACCGCCCGUCGCUCCUACCGAUGAAUGUUCCGAUGAAAUUUUCGGAGAGCACCUGUGAACUUGGCUCUGCCUUGCGAACGGGAGGCUCAAAGUCACUUAAAUCGAAACUUAAG
rnacentral:rRNA from 1 species